GACUCACUUGUAUUGGUCUGCGCUUUUCAAUGCUUGUGUAGCCACUAGCCGUGUCCAGCGAUCUGCAGCUCGAAGGCUGCUGAGGCACUCAGCUGUCAGUGCAGGUCAGCGGAGGAGGCUGGAGCUGUGUGGAUGAUCUCUCACAGACUCACGGCCCGAAGCUUACCUCCAUCGCUGCUGCUAGUCAGACUCCCAGCUGAAGUGCAGGACACCACAGAGUACAAAUAGAACGUAAGAGCCUCAUUUCGUAGAGAGGUGUGUUUGACGCCACGGUGUUCCCACGCCAGAUGAGCCGGAGCUUCACAUCACGACUUUGCGCAAUUGCUAAUGUUUAUACGUCCGGACUGGAACAUGUUGUCCUAUCUCAUUUCACCGCAGACUUGUCCACACAUGUGUUGCUACUGGCUUGCCGUACUCGUCCAUUUUGAAGGCAUUCUGACUCUUUUAAUUACUCCUGAAAAUAUUAUUUUUACAUAAAAAAUUUUUUUUUUAUUCUGAUACAUUCUUCUGACUUCUUUAUGGAUUCAUUCAACAUUUGCUAAACUGUUGUGUUUUCUUCAUUUUUCCGUGUAGGCGUCAGCCUGCGUUUAUGUGGCACAUUGAAACAGCAGUAGUUACAUUACUGUAUGUAAAAUGAAUAAAGUAUUUUAAAAUUG